UAGGGAAUCUUCCACAAUGGUCGCAAGUCUGAUGGAGCAACGCCGCGUGAGUGAAGAAGGGUUUCGGCUCGUAAAGCUCUGUUGUUAAAGAAGAACGUGGGUAAGAGUAACUGUUUACCCAGUGACGGUAUUUAACCAGAAAGCCACGGCUAACUACGUGUCAG
rnacentral:rRNA from 1 species